rnacentral:lncRNA from 13 species
AGAGAGAGAGCCAAUCCUAAGCAUGACAAAUAAUACAGUAAUCACAAAGUCCCAUAGCCUUCAGCUUCUGACUUUCCCCAAAAGGCUUCACCAACCCAAGACUAACUCCACCAGGGAGUUGAACCAGCAACCUUGCAAUUACAGGCCCUACACCUUUACUAAGUGUGCAAACAGACCACUUACAUCAAGGGAUGGCAGAAAGUUUCCUUAAGCCGUAUUUUGAAUGAGAAUGCUGCACCCUGAGGUGACAUGGCCUGCCUAAAAGCCGAGCAGGGCUGAUGGCUAGCAGCAGCUUUGGCCGCUUCCUUUCCCUCAGAGCCGCACCAGCUGAGGAAAAAAGCAGCUUGCCAUGUCAGUUUAAAAGCCCUGUUCACAGCCGUUGCUGGGCUGCCGUUAGUUCCCCUGCCCCCUCGUCGCCAUAUUGACCCCCGCCAGAACCACUUGCACUCCUGGGCCACUUCCCAAGCUACUGCCCGCACAGGGACCCAUGGCCAGCAGGUUCCUGCUUGAUUUGUGAAAUAGCUCAAGAACAGAUGGCAUUCUCCAGAUCAUUCUGCAUAGUGAGAGGAUGAAGGCUCAGGAAACCAUGAAUAUUUUGCUGCUACUCACUUGCAAUCACCUGAGAUUACCAAGAAGAGAAAAAAGACAGCAGCUCAAGGAAGCAGAGGAAGAUUCUUUCUCAUUUCCCUUUAUUUCUGGAUGGAAAUGGGGCCGAAAGGUGCAGUCGUGCUAUUUUCACUUCUGGCUAAAACCGAGACGAUAAAAGAAGAGUUGGGUGUUACAGGGUGCCCUCAGGCACUUCAGGAAUAUACCAGAAAAUGAAAGCCUAUUGUUUGAACAGAUUUUAUUAAACAAGAGCUCUACUUUAAGAAGAAGAAAAAAAUUAUAGACUACCAG